rnacentral:lncRNA from 1 species
CUAGGGUGGCUGCCAAAACACUGUGGCUUCUGUGGGGGCUCCACGUAGUAAAGUGUCCUUCCGUCCUCUCCAGGACCCCAUGGGAGGCUGGCAUUAGGCAGCCACUUCAGGAGGUGCAGUGCCAGAUGCAUGAUGUCGUGCCUUUCCGAGUCACCCUCCGGAGGGGCCAGAAGGGAUGUGACCAGGAGGUGGCUGACCAGGACAGGACAAUUCCCAGACUCCCCAGUGUGGAGUCGAUAAACAGCCAGGCAGUGCGAGUUUAUUUGGAACACACGUUGAGCCAGGGAAGCCCGAGAGAGGUAAUUCUCACAAGCACCAUCCAGGUUUCCCAGAUGAGGAAAUCAGGCUUAGAGACAAUAAGUGGCUUUGUCCCAGGCCUCAGUCAGGAAGGGCCAGAGCCGGGAUUUGAAUGCAAGACUCUCUACCACUUUCCAUUGCACCAGGCAGAGAGGAAGAAGGAAAAAAUACAAGUAUGCUUGAAUGUCCACCACCUUCCGGGCACUGUGUUGACGUGGGACAUGGCAGCGAACGAGACAAACCCUGCAGAGCCCUGGGGAUCUCACAUGAGCAACUGACCAGAGUGUUCAGGAGACUCCUGGAGACAAAGGAGAGGUGGGAACAGAGAGAGGAGCAGGAGGAAGGGCAUGAUGGCUCAUGUGCCUUCAGGCCUGGACCCCCUGGAGGAAGUCUCCGUCAGCACUCCUCCCAGCCCAUCCCAGAACUACGAGCCCUGCUGGAAAUGGCAACACCUUUGCGCAUGACCCCUGACCAGCCAUUCUGAGGUGACCAUUCUGCUCAGAGGGCCCUCAGCCAGAGGUCAGGAGCCUCACGACUGCUGGUGAGGAGCUGAGGCCUGUGUGCCAGAGGCUGCUCAUGGCACUGAGGGGUCAGGACCAGGAGGUCAUGAGAGAAGGCAGUCAAGCUGGUGCCCGCCAUGGUGUCCAGAACCAAACUGACACCAGGCUCUUUUGUACCAACUCAAGGAAAGAACGGGCUUGUUUUCUUUUCUCAGCCCCCAAGGACUUUCUCUGCCCUCCCCUCCCGGGAGGAACUUCUGUGAACCUGGAGACCUCCUGGCUCUGCCCAAGCUGGUCUUGAUUAUCCAGCUACACUGCAGGGAAGAGAGGAGAGAGGGGCUGCUCAGUCCAGCCAGGUCGAAGGCAAGGGUUCCCUUCCCUUGGACAGAUGGGCGCCUUGAUGUGUCCACUCAUUCAUUUGUUCAAUAAGGAUUGACGAAGCAUCUUCUGUGCCAGCCGCUGUGCUAGGCUCUGGUGAGGGUAGGUGAGAAAGCUGUGGAAAGGACCUGUUGUUUGUGCAAGGACAGAUGACUAACAUGAAGGAUGAAGGAGCCCUUUCUCUGGGGGCAAGUGGGCACCUGACAGCGAAGGAGAGACACACAUAGGCACCCUAAUAAAACUACUCUGAGAGCUCUUUGUGGCAGGGCUGGGUCCCGGGGCAGCCUGUUUGUCAGGGCCAGGAUCCAGCCCCACACUGUGUUUCCUUUGUGUUCACGGGUCCACCAUGUGGG